rnacentral:rRNA from 1 species
AUUGAACGCUGGCGGCAUGCUUUACACAUGCAAGUCGAACGGCAGCGCGGGGCAACCUGGCCGCGAGUGGCGAACGGGUGAGUAAUAUAUCGGAACGUACCCAGAAGUGGGGGAUAACGUAGCGAAAGUUACGCUAAUACCGCAUACGAUCUACGGAUGAAGGUAGGGGACCGCAAGGCCUUAUGCUUUUGGAGCGGCCGAUAUCUGAUUAGCUAGUUGGUGAGGUAAAGGCUCACCAAGGCGACGAUCAGUAGCUGGUCUGAGAGGACGACCAGCCACACUGGAACUGAGACACGGUCCAGACUCCUACGGGAGGCAGCAGUGGGGAAUUUUGGACAAUGGGCGCAAGCCUGAUCCAGCAAUGCCGCGUGAGUGAAGAAGGCCUUCGGGUUGUAAAGCUCUUUUGUCAGGGAAGAAACGGUAGAGGCUAAUAUCCUUUGCUAAUGACGGUACCUGAAGAAUAAGCACCGGCUAACUACGUG